ACGUGAGCAACCUGCCCCUGACUCUGGGAUAAGCGCUGGAAACGGUGUCUAAUACUGGAUAUGUCCCAUCACCGCAUGGUGUGUGGGUGGAAAGAUUUUUCGGUUGGGGAUGGGCUCGCGGCCUAUCAGCUUGUUGGUGAGGUAAUGGCUCACCAAGGCGUCGACGGGUAGCCGGCCUGAGAGGGUGACCGGCCACACUGGGACUGAGACACGGCCCAGACUCCUACGGGAGGCAGCAGUGGGGAAUAUUGCACAAUGGGCGGAAGCCUGAUGCAGCAACGCCGCGUGAGGGAUGACGGCCUUCGGGUUGUAAACCUCUUUUAGCAGGGAAGAAGCGAGAGUGACGGUACCUGCAGAAAAAGCACCGGCUAACUACGUGCCAGCAGCCGCGGUAAUACGUAGGGUGCAAGCGUUAUCCGGAAUUAUUGGGCGUAAAGAGCUCGUAGGCGGUUUGUCGCGUCUGCUGUGAAAUUCCGAGGCUCAACCUCGGGCUUGCAGUGGGUACGGGCAGACUAGAGUGCGGUAGGGGAGAUUGGAAUUCCUGGUGUAGCGGUGGAAUGCGCAGAUAUCAGGAGGAACACCGAUGGCGAAGGCAGAUCUCUGGGCCGUAACUGACGCUGAGGAGCGAAAGGGUGGGGAGCAAACAGGCUUAGAUACCCUGGUAGUCCACCCCGUAAACGUUGGGAACUAGUUGUGGGGUCCUUUCCACGGAUUCCGUGACGCAGCUAACGCAUUAAGUUCCCCGCCUGGGGAGUACGGCCGCAAGGCUAAAACUCAAAGGAAUUGACGGGGACCCGCACAAGCGGCGGAGCAUGCGGAUUAAUUCGAUGCAACGCGAAGAACCUUACCAAGGCUUGACAUACACCAGAACACCCUGGAAACAGGGGACUCUUUGGACACUGGUGAACAGGUGGUGCAUGGUUGUCGUCAGCUCGUGUCGUGAGAUGUUGGGUUAAGUCCCGCAACGAGCGCAACCCUCGUUCUAUGUUGCCAGCACGUUAUGGUGGGAACUCAUGGGAUACUGCCGGGGUCAACUCGGAGGAAGGUGGGGAUGACGUCAAAUCAUCAUGCCCCUUAUGUCUUGGGCUUCACGCAUGCUACAAUGGCCGGUACAAUGGGCUGCGAUACCGUAAGGUGGAGCGAAUCCCAAAAAGCCGGUCCCAGUUCGGAUUGAGGUCUGCAACUCGACCUCAUGAAGUCGGAGUCGCUAGUAAUCGCAGAUCAGCAACGCUGCGGUGAAUACGUUCCCGGGUCUUGUACACACCGC
rnacentral:rRNA from 1 species